UACGUAGGUGGCGAGCGUUGUCCGGAUUUACUGGGCGUAAAGGGCGUGCAGGCGGUUUGUUAAGUGCAGGGUGAAAGCUCCCGGCUCAACUGGGAGAGAUCCUUGCAUACUGGCGAACUCGAGGGAGGCAGAGGAAAGUGGAAUUCCCGGUGUAGUGGUGAUAUGCGUAGAUAUCGGGAGGAACACCUGUGGCGAAGGCGGCUUUCUGGGCCUUACCUGACGCUGAGACGCGAAAGCGUGGGGAGCGAACCGG
rnacentral:rRNA from 1 species